UCUGACUCUCGUUUUCCCCACAGGACAUGAUCCACAUCGCAGACACCAAGGUCGCCAGGCGCUAUGGGGAUUUCUUUAUCCGUCAGAUUCACAAAUUUGAGGAGCUUAAUCGAACCCUGAAGAAGAUGGGACAGAGACCGUGAGCAUCUUCACACUCAUAUUAGUCAGGAACCUUUUUUAUGUCAUUGUAGGUGGGAAGUGUGAAGCCUUUACCUAGAUCAGCCAUCAGCCAGUAAACUGAGUUGAAAUUUACUCAAAUUAAGGACUGAAAUGUUUUACGUAGAGUCAGUAAAAGAUCUUUGGAGCCCAA